rnacentral:rRNA from 1 species
GAUGAACGCUGGCGGCGUGCUUAACACAUGCAAGUCGAACGGUGAAAGCGGAGCUUGCUCUGCUGGAUCAGUGGCGAACGGGUGAGUAACACGUGAGCAAUCUGCCCCUGACUCUGGGAUAAGCGCUGGAAACGGCGUCUAAUACCGGAUACGAGCUGCGAAGGCAUCUUCAGCAGCUGGAAAGAACUUCGGUCAGGGAUGAGCUCGCGGCCUAUCAGCUAGUUGGUGAGGUAACGGCUCACCAAGGCGUCGACGGGUAGCCGGCCUGAGAGGGUGACCGGCCACACUGGGACUGAGACACGGCCCAGACUCCUACGGGAGGCAGCAGUGGGGAAUAUUGCACAAUGGGCGAAAGCCUGAUGCAGCAACGCCGCGUGAGGGACGACGGCCUUCGGGUUGUAAACCUCUUUCAGCACCGACGAAGCGCAAGUGACGGUAGGUGCAGAAGAAGGACCGGCCAACUACGUGCCAGCAGCCGCAGUAA